AGAACUUAGCAGAGAUGCUUUGGUGCCUUCGGGAACUCUGAGACAGGUGCUGCAUGGCUGUCGUCAGCUCGUGUUGUGAAAUGUUGGGUUAAGUCCCGCAACGAGCGCAGCCCUUAUCCUUUGUUGCCAGCGGCUCGGCCGGGAACUCAAAGGAGACUGCCGGUGAUAAACCGGAGGAAGGUGGGGAUGACGUCAAGUCAUCAUGGCCCUUACGGCCAGGGCUACACACGUGCUACAAUGGCGCAUACAAAGAGAAGCGACCUCGCGAGAGCAAGCGGACCUCACAAAGUGCGUCGUAGUCCGGAUUGGAGUCUGCAACUCGACUCCAUGAAGUCGGAAUCGCUAGUAAUCGUAGAUCAGAAUGCUACGGUGAAUACGUUCCCGGGCCUUGUACACACCGCCCGUCACACCAUGGGAGUGGGUUGCAAAAGAAGUAGGUAGCUUAACCUUCGGGAGGGCGCUUACCACUUUGUGAUUCAUGACUGGGGUGAAGUCGUAACAAGGUAGGCGUAGCGAG
rnacentral:rRNA from 1 species